rnacentral:snRNA from 1 species
ACGCUCGCCUCCGCAGCACAUAUACUAAACUUGGAACGAUACAGAGAAGAUUAGCAUGGCCCCUGCACAAGGAUGACACACAAAUUCGUGAAGUGUUCCAUAUUAAA